AUGUUGCUGCUGCUGCUACUGGCGCCACUCUUCCUCCGCCCCCCGGGCGCGGGCGGGGCGCAGACCCCCAACGCCACCUCAGAAGGUUGCCAGAUCAUACACCCGCCCUGGGAAGGGGGCAUCAGGUACCGGGGCCUGACUCGGGACCAGGUGAAGGCUAUCAACUUCCUGCCAGUGGACUAUGAGAUUGAGUAUGUGUGCCGGGGGGAGCGCGAGGUGGUGGGGCCCAAGGUCCGCAAGUGCCUGGCCAACGGCUCCUGGACAGAUAUGGACACACCCAGCCGCUGUGUCCGAAUCUGCUCCAAGUCUUAUUUGACCCUGGAAAAUGGGAAGGUUUUCCUGACGGGUGGGGACCUCCCAGCUCUGGACGGAGCCCGGGUGGAUUUCCGGUGUGACCCCGACUUCCAUCUGGUGGGCAGCUCCCGGAGCAUCUGUAGUCAGGGCCAGUGGAGCACCCCCAAGCCCCACUGCCAGGUGAAUCGAACGCCACACUCAGAACGGCGCGCAGUGUACAUCGGGGCACUGUUUCCCAUGAGCGGGGGCUGGCCAGGGGGCCAGGCCUGCCAGCCCGCGGUGGAGAUGGCGCUGGAGGACGUGAAUAGCCGCAGGGACAUCCUGCCGGACUAUGAGCUCAAGCUCAUCCACCACGACAGCAAGUGUGAUCCAGGCCAAGCCACCAAGUACCUAUAUGAGCUGCUCUACAACGACCCUAUCAAGAUCAUCCUUAUGCCUGGCUGCAGCUCUGUCUCCACGCUGGUGGCUGAGGCUGCUAGGAUGUGGAACCUCAUUGUGCUUUCCUAUGGCUCCAGCUCACCAGCCCUGUCAAACCGGCAGCGUUUCCCCACUUUCUUCCGAACGCACCCAUCAGCCACACUCCACAACCCUACCCGCGUGAAACUCUUUGAAAAGUGGGGCUGGAAGAAGAUUGCUACCAUCCAGCAGACCACUGAGGUCUUCACUUCGACUCUGGACGACCUGGAGGAACGAGUGAAGGAGGCUGGAAUUGAGAUUACUUUCCGCCAGAGUUUCUUCUCAGAUCCAGCUGUGCCCGUCAAAAACCUGAAGCGCCAGGAUGCCCGAAUCAUCGUGGGACUUUUCUAUGAGACUGAAGCCCGGAAAGUUUUUUGUGAGGUGUACAAGGAGCGUCUCUUUGGGAAGAAGUACGUCUGGUUCCUCAUUGGGUGGUAUGCUGACAAUUGGUUCAAGAUCUACGACCCUUCUAUCAACUGCACAGUGGAUGAGAUGACUGAGGCGGUGGAGGGCCACAUCACAACUGAGAUUGUCAUGCUGAAUCCUGCCAAUACCCGCAGCAUUUCCAACAUGACAUCCCAGGAAUUUGUGGAGAAACUAACCAAGCGACUGAAAAGACACCCUGAGGAGACAGGAGGCUUCCAGGAGGCACCGCUGGCCUAUGAUGCCAUCUGGGCCUUGGCACUGGCCCUGAACAAGACAUCUGGAGGAGGCGGCCGUUCUGGUGUGCGCCUGGAGGACUUCAACUACAACAACCAGACCAUUACCGACCAAAUCUACCGGGCAAUGAACUCUUCGUCCUUUGAGGGUGUCUCUGGCCAUGUGGUGUUUGAUGCCAGCGGCUCUCGGAUGGCAUGGACGCUUAUCGAGCAGCUUCAGGGUGGCAGCUACAAGAAGAUUGGCUACUAUGACAGCACCAAGGAUGAUCUUUCCUGGUCCAAAACAGAUAAAUGGAUUGUUAUAUCCAGAACUCACAGCCCAACCUGAACAACCUGACUGCUGUGGGCUGCUCACUGGCUUUAGCUGCUGUCUUCCCCCUGGGGCUCGAUGGUUACCACAUUGGGAGGAACCAGUUCCCUUUCGUCUGCCAGGCCCGCCUCUGGCUCCUGGGCCUGGGCUUUAGUCUGGGCUACGGUUCCAUGUUCACCAAGAUUUGGUGGGUCCACACGGUCUUCACAAAGAAGGAAGAAAAGAAGGAGUGGAGGAAGACUCUGGAACCCUGGAAGCUGUAUGCCACAGUGGGCCUGCUGGUGGGCAUGGAUGUCCUCACUCUCGCCAUCUGGCAGAUCGUGGACCCUCUGCACCGGACCAUUGAGACAUUUGCCAAGGAGGAACCUAAGGAAGAUAUUGACGUCUCUAUUCUGCCCCAGCUGGAGCAUUGCAGCUCCAGGAAGAUGAAUACAUGGCUUGGCAUUUUCUAUGGUUACAAGGGGCUGCUGCUGCUGCUGGGAAUCUUCCUUGCUUAUGAGACCAAGAGUGUGUCCACUGAGAAGAUCAAUGAUCACCGGGCUGUGGGCAUGGCUAUCUACAAUGUGGCAGUCCUGUGCCUCAUCACUGCUCCUGUCACCAUGAUUCUGUCCAGCCAGCAGGAUGCAGCCUUUGCCUUUGCCUCUC
rnacentral:misc_RNA from 1 species